rnacentral:rRNA from 1 species
CCCUUAGAUGUUCUGGGCAGCACGCGCGCUACAAUGGUCUUCGCAAACGGAUGCAUUCUCGAAGGAGAAUGCCAAUCUUGGAAUCUAUGCCUUGGUCGGGACAGUUGCUUGCAAUUUUUCGACUCGAACCAGGAAUUCCUUGUAAUCGUGAUUCAUCACAUCACGAUGAAUACGUCCCUGCCCUUUGUACACACCGCCCGUCGCUCCUACCGAUCGAAGAGUUAGGUGUAUUGUUUUGAUCGAUAAGAUUUGACUAUGGUCAACUCUCGUUGUGAAAUUCUGUGAAUCUGACUGUUUAGAGGAAGGAAAAGUCGUAACA